rnacentral:tRNA from 1 species
CGCUACGGACUUAAAAUCCGUUGGCUUUAUUGACCGUGAGGGUUCAAGUCCCUCUACCCCCAAAAAUUAUCUCCAUUAAAAUUUUAUUAUUCAAUA